AGUCGAACGAAGUAGCAAUACUUAGUGGCAGACGGGCGAGUAACAUGUAGGUAUCUGCCCUUUGGCCUGGAAUAACACGAGGAAACUUGUGCUAAUACCGGAUAAGUCUUUACGGAGAAAGCUUUAUGCACCAUUGGAUGAGCCUGCACUUGAUUAGUUUGUUGGUAGGGUAAUGGCCUACCAAGACUGUGAUCAAUAGCUGAUUUGAGAGGAUGAUCAGCCACAUUGGGACUGAGACACGGCCUAAACUCCUACGGGAGGCAGCAGUGGGGAAUCUUGCACAAUGGAGGAAACUCUGAUGCAGCGAUGCCGCGUGAGUGAAGAAGGCCCUUGGGUUGUAAAGCUCUUUCGUCGGGGAAGAAAAUGACUGUACCCGAAUAAGAAGGUCCGGCUAACUUCGUGCCAGCAGCCGCGGUAAUACGAAGGGACCUAGCGUAGUUCGGAAUUACUGGGCUUAAAGAGUUCGUAGGUGGUUGAAAAAGUUGGUGGUGAAGUCCCAGAGCUUAACUCUGGAACUGCCAUCAAAACUUUUCAGCUAGAGUAUGAUAGAGGAAAGCAGAAUUUCUAGUGUAGAGGUGAAAUUCGUAGAUAUUAGAAAGAAUA
rnacentral:rRNA from 1 species